AGCGAACGCUGGCGGUAGGCCUAACACAUGCAAGUCGAACGGCAGCACAGUAAGAGCUUGCUCUUACGGGUGGCGAGUGGCGGACGGGUGAGGAAUACAUCGGAAUCUACUUUUUCGUGGGGGAUAACGUAGGGAAACUUACGCUAAUACCGCAUACGACCUACGGGUGAAAGCAGGGGAUCUUCGGACCUUGCGCGAUUGAAUGAGCCGAUGUCGGAUUGGCUAGUUGGCGGGGUAAAGGCCCACCAAGGCGACGGUCCGUAGCUGGUCUGCGUGGAUGGUAGGCCACACUGGAACGGAGACACGGUCCAGAGUCCUACGGAAGGCACCAGAGGGGAAUAUUGGACAAUGGGGGCAAGCCUGACCCAGCCAGACCGCGUGGGUGAAGAAGGCUUCGGGGUUGUAAAGCCCUUUUGUUGGGAAAAAAAAGCAGCAGGUUGAUACGCCGCUGUUCUGACGGUACCCAAAGAAUAAGCACCGGCUAACUUCGUG
rnacentral:rRNA from 1 species